rnacentral:lncRNA from 1 species
UUUUCUAAGCCGAAUUAGAAGGAAAAUUCAUUGUUCUUAAUUUUUAGUUUUCUUCUUCAAUAGUUUGAUUUAAUUCCAUAACUUAUAUUCUUUCAUUUAUUCAAUUGUAGGUUGGAUAAGAAUUAAUAAUUGGUAUCAGAAUCAUGGUGGUGUUGAAUUUUCGGCAAAGAAUCAACCAGAAACCGAAUUCGCAUCUAUCCAGAUUUUUUUUGCAAAAAUCGGACCUGCAAGCUUGAUUUCCCAACGAUCUAGAGGUCCAUUGAUGAUAUGGAAACUGGGGUUGAGACGUGCAGGUGGAGGUGAUUAUGGGCGUGUGGCACGUGACUCCGACGGUGACCCAUGGAUUUUCAACGACGGCGCGUGGGGUCGAUUCCAACGACUGUUUCUACAGACAUAAUUUUUAUUUUGACAUUUCUAACAUUCGUGUGUUGUUAGUUUUUCGUUUCAAGUACUGCAACAAAAGUUGGACGUUUUGCCCUUGGUGGGUCGACGGUCAAAAUUGCUAUAUAUAUUUAUUGAAUUACUUUAAGUCAAAAUCGCGG